rnacentral:rRNA from 1 species
CGUUGAUAGGGCAGGUGUGUAAGUGCUGUGAGGCAUUGAGCUAACUGAUACUAAUUGCCCGUGAGGCUUAACCAUACAACACCCAAGGGGUUU